rnacentral:rRNA from 1 species
UUCGGGGGACAGGGUGACAGGUGGUGCAUGGUUGUCGUCAGCUCGUAUCGUGAGAUGUUGGGUUAAGUCCCGCAACGAGCGCAACCCUCGACCUUAGUUGCCAGCAUUCAGUUGGGCACUCUAAGGUGACUGCCGGCUAAAAGUCGGAGGAAGGUGGGGAUGACGUCAAAUCAUCAUGCCCCUUAUGACCUGGGCUACACACGUGCUACAAUGGGCGGUACAAAGGGUCGCGAACCCGCGAGGGGGAGCCAAUCCCAAAAAGCCGCUCUCAGUUCGGAUUGCAGGCUGCAACUCGCCUGCAUGAAGCCGGAAUCGCUAGUAAUCGCGGAUCAGCAUGCCGCGGUGAAUACGUUCCCGGGCCUU